UAGUGGCGGCGGGAAUCCGAUAGAAAGUGGCAUCUUGGCCUCUGCGGAGGCGAAUCCAGCGAUCAUCAGAACCGCCACCAUGACUGUCGGCAAGAGCAGCAAGAUGCUCCAGCACAUCGACUACAGGAUGAGGUGCAUCCUGCAAGAUGGCCGGAUCUUCAUCGGCACCUUUAAGGCUUUUGACAAGCACAUGAACUUGAUCCUCUGUGACUGUGAUGAAUUCAGGAAGAUUAAGCCAAAGAAUUCAAAACAAGCAGAAAGGAAAGAGAAGCGAGUCCUCGGUCUGGUGCUGCUGCGAGGAGAAAACCUGGUCUCAAUGACUGUAGAGGGGCCUCCUCCCAAAGAUACUGGCAUUGCCCGAGUACCACUUGCUGGAGCAGCUGGAGGCCCAGGGAUUGACAGGGCCGCAGGCAGAGGCAUUCCAGCUAGUGUUCCAAUGCCCCAGGCUCCCGCAGGACUUGCUGGACCAGUCCAAGGAGUUGGUGGGCCUUCCCAACAGGUGAUGACCCCACAAGGAAGAGGCACUGUUGCAGCUGCUGCACAGCCAGCAUAGCAGGGGCCCCAACCCAGUACCCACCUGGCCGUGCAGGUCCUCCUCCACCUAUGGGCCGAGGGGCACCCCCUCCAGGCAUGAUGGGUCCACCUCCUGGUAUGAGGCCUCCUAUGGGUCCCCCAAUGGGAAUCCCGCCUGGACGAGGGACUCCAAUGGGCUUGCCCCCUCCAGGGAUGCGGCCACCUCCUCCAGGGAUGCGAGGGCCUCCUCCCCCAGGAAUGCGGCCACCAAGGCCCUAGACUCACCUUGGCACUCAGCUCCUUGCCUGUUUCCUGUAAGGCUGUAUAUAGUCCAUAUGUUUUCUUGUGGCUUGCAAAACUAGUUU